AGUUUUCUUGCCACAUUUUGUUGCUGGCCCGCACAGCAUUCUUUUUUUUUUCUUUCACUCUUUUUUUCAGCAGCCGAGAGAAUAUACGAAACUCGUAUUAGUUCGGAUUUACAACUUGGCGCUAUACGUAGACGUGAAAAACCAUCGAAGUACUAACCCGUUUUCUGCCUGAACGGCGCCACAUUGGAAGGCUCCUUUGCACGUCAGACAGAGAUCUCUUAUCUCAUCGCUUUCAAGCGUUUCCGCUGUUGUCUGCUGUGCAGCUAAGAUGUCCCGCAUAGCAUCCGGAGACUCCGUGAAGCUGCUGAAGGGACAACUAUCGGAAAAGGAGUUUCGUAUAGGCGAACUGGAGAACCGUGUCAAGGAUCUUUUCAACGAAGCCAAAGAGCUGGAUGAAAAGCUGCGUAUCGCGAACCGUAAUGCCCGCGUUCUUGAAGAGGAAAACAGCAACUACCACAUUCGAAUCAAGAACUUUGAGAAGGAUGGCGGUGCUUUGGACAUCUUUCCUUUGCAGAAAGAAGCGAUGAAGCUCAUCCAAGAGAACGAUGAGCUGCGGCAGUCGCUCACAGAGGCUGAGAGACGUGUGAGGGAAAUAUCCGGCCGCGAGCGCGACAGUGACCACGACGCUGACAAGCGCAUUCGCGAACUGCAGAGCGAGUGCGAAAGAAUGCGCAAGGAAAGACUGCGUGAGUACAAAGAGCUGGAGAGCACUAGGCGUCUGUGUGCUGACUUGCAAAAACGCCUCGAUGACGACGAGGAGACGCUGAAAUCAGCAAAAGAGCUGUGGGACCAGGAGCGCGAUAGGUACCAGCAGAAGAUUGACGAACUACUGGACUUCAAUAAGCGUGCGGAAAGGCCCCUCGUGACGCGAACUGCUUGGCACAGGGAUGGCCCUGCGGAUGAGCCGCUGGAGCAAUUUCUGUUGAAGGAAGAGGUUGCACAGCUGGAAAGGACGCUGAAAGAGGUCCAACACAAGAACUGGGAAAAGGAGAAGACGUGGGUUCGUACCGAGACCGAGCUGCGUCACCACAUCAAUGAAUUGCAGGUGAGCGGCAGAUCGGAGAGCCGUAACGACAAUGCACUUUUCCAGGCCAUGAAGGAUCAAGUCAGGGCUUUGCAAGACGAAAUUCAGGCUCUUCGGACUGACAGGCGGGGCUCGCGGUCGGCACAAGGCGCGCCAAUGAGCUCAAUGAGUACGUCCUCUACUGUGACACCGGCUGUAAAGAGCGGUGUAGUGGAGGAGUGGGCAGCUCGCUAUGAAUCCGUAUCAAGGGAAAACGACAACCUUCGCGAUCAGGUAGACGCAGCGAAGGCAAAAAUUCUCGAGCUUCAAAACCUUGUCGACGAGAAGGUAGUAGCAUGCAAAGAGAUGGAGCUUCGACUCGCAGCUGCACAGAAGCAACGCGCAAUCGCUUCUCAGGCUCCAUUGGUAGACAGGCCAUCAUCUAUCCGCUCGACCAGUGAGCGCAGUUAUGAAAGUCGUGCAACCGGUGCUCCGCGUAGCCAGGACGAUGCACGCGCGAUGAUGGCCAUGAGACAGCGCGUGCUUGACCUGGAGGCGGAGUUGAGGACACUCUGCAGCGCGCACGAGCAGAAGGAGACUAUCAGCCAUGCUCGCCUUAAGGAUUACAAAAAACAGAUCGUGGAGCUACUACGGGAAAAUGCAAAUCUUAGAGAUGCGAGCAUGGAUCAGGCUGAUACUGAGGGCGGAUGCACUAUCAUGGAUUUUUCGGAUGGGAUGAUGCGUUUGACGAAGGACAAGCGGGAGUCGGUAGAGGAAGUGAUGCGACUUCUUGAAUUGGCGUGGGACAGCGAAGAUGAGCUGAAUCGACAGCUACGUCGAGCCAAGUACCAAAAUGCGGCCAUGGCCGCUCAGGGUGCCUCUAAGGACGACGAGAUUCAGUGUCUCCAGAAAUCUGUCAGUAUCUUGGAAAGCAAGCUGCGAGACAUGGAGAAACGGGCGCACGACAACGGCGAUUUGAAAGACGCCAUGGGUGAACUAAGAAAACAACGCCGAGGUCUGACCGAUGAAAACGACAAGCUUCGAAAGAAGAUUGGAGAUUUGGAGAAGGCUAAGGAGGAAGUAGUGCGGCAGCAGAGCGCAAAGCAAAAUGAUGCUAAGCGGCGUAUUGAAGAGCUACAGACUGAGAUUGAUGAUUUGACGCACAAGCUGGCCAACGCGCGUAAGGCAGGUAGUCGACCAGUCUCUCCACGCCUCAGUACCCGCUCCCCGCAACCCGGUACUCUCUCUCCGAGACCCAGCGCCCGGCGUCGCACACCUGAGGCAGCUGCUCUAUCCCACUUAUCUGUCCGCUCCACAGAUGAGCAGCGUCGAAGUGCUGUCCCUGAAGGUGCCCACCUCGCUUUCACAGUCGUGGAAUUGACGGAUGUGCUGCGCAACGGUCGACCGAUCACUGAGGCCGGUCACGUCAUCAUCAAAGUGAAGUCCAUUAAGGAGAAGUACAAGACUUCCGUAAAGUUGCUGUCUUCUGUGAUCCGCUUUGAUGAGACAUUUGUGUUCUACCUCGCGCAGCCAGACCAGGAUGUCAUCACUCUGCACGUCUUUUAUAAGCCGCAUGGCGGGUCCCGUGAGUUUCAUAUCGGGGACGCCUGCUUCUCCAUGGCAACACUAUACCGAGGACUUCCUCGCCAGCGCAUAGCUCCUGUGGUGCAGAGCCCGGGAACAAAAGAAGCGCGUCGUGCCGCACAGGUCGAAGUACAUUUGCAAACGGAUGACUUCGGAAAGACGAUGGUGCAUACGCAGGAGGAAGUGGAGAAGGAGAAGAUGCGUUUCAUCGAGCUGGUGAACAAGUUCGAGAAGGGCUCCCCAGAGAUGCUGCACGCCGUGGAUGUUUACAUGGCGUCCAACGAGCUACAGUAGCUUUUCGCGCGCAUCGACUGCACAGGCGCCAAGGGCGGAGUCUUCGCAGUGAUUCCUUUUUGUGACAUGCGUGUGCGUGUGUACGCCAGUGGGUGGGGAUGAGUACGUGUCUGCUUUUAGCUGUUUUCCGUUUCCAUUUGCGUAGAUUUUUUCUCUCUCAUGUGUUUAGUUUCUUGAAUGUUGGCUUCUCGUUUGGAGAAGCACUAGCAGCGGUGCUAUAGAUGUGCGCGGAAUGCGAACCGUUUGCGAGCGCGCGCUCUCGCGUGUCUCUUUUUUUUUUUCGGCUGCAGUCAGCACGAGCUGACUUCGUUUGAGGGCGUUUGUUUCCUACGCGCGCAUUUUCUGCUGUGCGUGUAUAUGUAUAUGUGUGUGCAUGCGUGUAUGCGUUGAGGUGCACUUGAGCAGGAUUGCUUGAGACAAAAAGGCAAGCAAGCCAACACAUCAGCAGUAGCGUUUUGCAAGUACAAUGAAAGUGAAAGCAAGAAAACACCGCUACUUUUUCUUGUUUUCUCUAUUGUCACACUCUGCUCUCACUGCCCUACUUCUCCUGAUACGCUGUGUUUGUUUACAUCUGGCUUCAUUUCGUCGCUUGCUUUUUUUUUACUAGUUGGAUGCGGUAUUUGAAUCGCAAGGACGAGUCUUGUCUUGUUCCCUGUUCGCUUCGAGACUGCAACAGCGAGGUGUAAAAUGUCUCUUUUUUUUUUGGCAGUCUGCCGUCACGGUACCGCUAUCUUUAGCACAUUUUUCUUCGCUUUCCUUAUGCUGGCUUUUUCUUUGUGUUUGCGCUCGCUUGUGAUCUGCGCUGUGUGGUAUGUCAAGCCCUCUCUCUCGUGCUUUCAUUCGGUCUCCCUUCCUUUCUUCUCCGUGAUGGCCACUCUUGUGAAGCCUUCCACAUUUUUUUUUUGUUUCUGUGUUUCACCAUUGCUCUUUUUUUCCUUUGACCUUUGCCAACAUCAUUUUCGAGAGCAGCGUGCUAAGAGCACGCGCAUCAUUUCGCCCUCGCUCUCUUCCUUUUCUCGGGCGAGAGGGGGGCUGGGCACUGCUAAAAGGUCCUCUUUUCUGUUGAUCAGCGGUGUGAGUAUGCUAUCUUGAGUAUUGUAGGCGCUCAGGUGUACAACCUGGCGCAUUAUGAAGUCUAGUAGAGGUGAUGACGCGUCUGUUACGAAGAGAAAAUAUUGCAUGAUACUCGUUUUCUUGAAGCGCACGCCAUCAACUGGUUUUCCUGUGUGUCUCUUCCCUUCAUAUGGUUUUCUCAUCGCUGUCUUGGCGUUUGCGCGAUGCGCUUUCCUGCACACCUUCCGACAUCCACGUGCGACUCUCGACACGCACCACGGAGAAGGAACAAAACGGUUGCGUUUCAGCUAGGCUCUCACUGUAAGGUUCUUGACGCUUCGUGACUCAUGCCGAGCCUUCUGUUCGCUUCUACGUUGACGAAGCUAAGAAACCAAACCGCAAAAAGAUGGAAAAAGCGAACGAAAGAGGCAGCAAUGCAUUUGUUUUCUCUUCAUCUCUGCGUUCUCCGCUCUCGCCGACUCCCACCCACCCCCACUUUUCGGAACGCAUAUGCGUCCUCAUUCUUCGGUCGACACUACCAUGGAAG
rnacentral:misc_RNA from 1 species